rnacentral:rRNA from 1 species
GUCAAGUUACAAAGGGCUCACGGUGGUACACA